UACGUAGGGGGCAAGCGUUGUCCGGAUUUAUUGGGCGUAAAGAGCGUGUAGGCGGCCAGGUAGGUCUGCUGUGAAAACUCGAGGCUCAACCUCGAGACGUCGGCGGAAACCAUCUGGCUAGAGUCCGGAAGAGGAGAGUGGAAUUCCUGGUGUAGCGGUGAAAUGCGUAGAUAUCAGAAGGAACGCCGGUGGCGAAAGCGACUCUCUGGCCCGUAUCUGACGCUGAGGCGCGAAAGCUUGGGUAGCAAACGGG
rnacentral:rRNA from 1 species